UAAGUAAUGCAUCCUCAAACAGAUACACUGGAGUUUGAUGAAUACCGUCUAAAAUUACCUGACCCCAAUAUGAUUCCUCGGCUAUGGCGAUUCUACAAUCGUUUGCAAACACAUCUCCGCUCUUCGCCAUUUUCAACCGAUGUGAAUACAUGUGCUAUAAUUGAUGGAAAAUCCAUUGCCAAUGAUAUAAAAUCAAGUGUAGCUGAUGAAAUUAACAAAAUGAAGAAUUGUAUUGGGAAAUGCCCUGGAUUGGGCAUUGUUUUGGUGGGUCAGAGGCACGAUUCCCACACUUUUAUUCGACUCAAAUUACGGGCUUGUCAUGAAGUUGGUAUUGCUACUUUUCUCAAACAAUUGCCGGAAGAUUGUUCUCAAGAUGAGGUUUAUCAUGUUGUUUCAAAGCUAAAUGAUGAUCCCGAUGUGCAUGGUGUUAUUGUGCAGCUUCCGCUACCUAGACAUUUAAAUGAAGACAAGGUUGUGGAAUUUGUUAGUCCUGAAAAAGAUGUGGAUGGAUUGCAUCCUCUUAAUAUAGGAAUGCUUGCUAUGGGAAGAGAUCCGUUUUUCAUCCCUUGUGCCCCUAAAGCAUGCAUUGAAUUAUUACUCAGACAAGGUAUUGAAAUUACUGGUUCAAGAGUGGUGGUACUUGGGAAAAGCAAGAUUUCAGGGUUGCCCAUUUCCUUGUUACUGCAAAGUCACCUCGCAACUGUUAGCACAUUGCAUGCAUUUACUGAUAACCCAGAGCAUGUAACUCGCCAAGCUGACAUUGUAGUAUCGGAUGUUGGAAAUCCUAAUGUGGUUCGAGGUCAUUGGCUGAAACCUGGAGCUAUUGUCAUUGACAUGGGGGCCACACAAGUAAAAGACUCCAGUAGACAGUGUGGUUUUCGUAUAACAGGAGACGUUUGUUAUGAAGAAGCUAAUAAAGUUGUCUCAGCCAUUACCCCUGUGCCUGGAGGAGCGGGACCUGUUACAAUCUCGAUGCUCCUCUCAAACACUCUCGAGUCGGCCAAGCGUGCAUUCAGGUUCGGUUGAACACAGAUAUAUGGUUCCAAUAUAUAAAUCUUGAUUCAAGCUAUUUCCCAAGAUAAACGCCACAUAUCUAAUCCAGUCAGUGGGUGUUGGUGCAUAGAGAGCUCGAGCAGUCGUCGUGUUUAUUUUGGCAGUAACAUGCAUCGACACAUUUCUGGCACCAAAAAUGCUGGCAGAGGAAUAUCAAGUUAGUUCAGUUUUGCUACAUAGUUGGAACAAUGUGCACCCUCAAAUGCUCUAAUAGGCAUAGAUGAAUGGAAGAAUUUUGUUUCGUUUUCUUCACAGCAGUCAACAAUAUUGAGGUACCUUGUAAAUCCUGCCAGUCAAUAUAACUAUGCUGGUAUUGGCAAUAAAGAUAUGAGAGCCUGGCUUCCAGAGAUGACUGCUGGGCCUCUUUGGCGAAAUAAAAAAUCACACACAUUUUCUUUUGGAUAUACAGUAGUACAUUUAUUUUUUUUUGGCCAGAUUUUAGAUUUUUAGGCCCCUGAGCAUAGUGUUGAAAGUUUACAGGGCAGAAAACUGAAUGAUGCCUGAAACAUUAUCCUGAGUCACUGACUGUUGUUUAUUCUAAUAACCAAACUGAGUUACAGCACGUGUUGUGUUUAUUUUAACUUCCAAAUUAAGAAGAUAGAACAGUUUGGGCAAACCAGCUUCCGUAUCUGAUAUCAAGUCUUAUUUGGUUUUGCGAUUGCUCGCAAGGGUUGCAGUUUUUUUGACACCGGCCCUAGAGUCUCUUCCAUGUCUACUGUCUUCAGACCAUCACAAAGCUCCCACUCAAACUGCUGAAGCAUGGAGCCCAGAACCAAGGGCACCACACGAUGAGCCAACGGAAGACCUGGGCAAAAUUCUCCUCCCCGCCCCAAACGGCAAGAACUCAUAAUUCUGACCCUUGUAAUUAAAAUUGGAGUCCAAGAACCUCUCGGGCUUAAAUGACAAAGCAUCCUCCCAAUCAUCUUCAUCUGUUGCUAUUGCCCAGUUAUUGAUGAAAACCUGUGUGUCUUUGGGGAUUCUGUAGCCCAUGAAAUCGGUGUCUCGAUCGGCCUUUCUGGGAAGUAAGAUUGGUGCUGGAGGAUGGAGUCGCAGAGUUUCUUCCACAAUGGCUUUCAAGUCAAAUCUCUUUAGCCAGGGCAAGAAGUCGGAUAUAUUGGGACUGCCCAGGCACUGAUUGAAACCAUCCACAGCAGAGCAAAACUCAGAGGAAAUUUUGGACUGUGGAUCCAUGAGGUUCCGCGAAAGGGUGAGAUUCCCUAUCAUGUUCAACAAUGCUGGGUACACAAAUUGUCUAACCACAAUUCCAGUAGAUCCCUUUUGUGCUUCCUUUUCGAUCCACAAGAUUAGUUCAUCGACACUUUUUUGCCUGACCAUUAUGGUUUCUUUGAUCCUCUUGUUAGAAAAGAGCUCUGAGGUACAUAUUCGCCUCAAGGUGCGCCAGUAGGUGCCAUCUAGACCGAAGGCUAUAGAGCUCUUGUAGUAGUCGUGUGAGGUCACUGCAUCCGUUGUCAUCCGGUUUUUGAAGGAGAGAUCAUGGUUCUUAAACAGCUCUUCCACAGGCGCAGCAGAAAGAAGCACCAGGGUCUUGAAACUGCCGAGAUUUAGCCACACAACAGGACCGUAUUCGGCUUUAAGUGCUCUUGAAGUCCUGUGAGGCAAGCUUCCGAGAUCGAAAAGAUUGCCAAACAGCGGCCAGCCGCGAGGACCAGGAGGGAGCUUUGAGGUUUUGUGGCUAAUCUUCCUCCAUAAGUGCCAAACAAGAGGCAAACAUAUCAGUACUAAAGGCCAAGUGAGAUAGUAGUUCCAGUUCCACUGCAUGGCAAAACUUCAGAUCCCUCUGGUCAAAAUCAAAUUAGAGUGCAAAUAUGUAAAGAAAAAACAAUUUAAAAGAAAAUCCCAAGAGGAUACAUUAAAAACAUUACAUGCAAGUUGUAGAAAUACCUCUAAUACCUAACUGAGGUCUUGUAACUAUAUUUAAGGUAUCAUGCACAAAGCAAACUUAGCCCCUGUGUCCCCUGUGUGGUUAGUAAAAGCAAAAACUGCUUCUG